rnacentral:rRNA from 1 species
UAGGCCGCAGUGACCAGGCCCAGGCGACUGUUUAUCAAAAACACAGGUCUCCGCAAAGUCGUAAGACAAUGUAUGGGGGCUGACGUCUGCCCAGUGCCGGAAGGUAAAAGAAGUUGGUUAUUCUUCGGAAAAAGCUAACGACUGAAGCCCCGGUGAACGGCGGCUGUAACUCUGACAGUCCUAAGGUAGCGAAAUUCCUUGUCGAGUAAGUUUCGACCCGCACGAAAGACGUAACGAUCUGGGCACUGUCUCGGAGAGAGACUCGGUGAAAUAGAAAUGUCUGUGAAGAUGCGGACUACUUAUACCAGGACAGAAAGACCCUAUGAAGCUUGACUGUAAUUUGGAAUUGGAUUCGGGCUUUUUUUGCGCAGUCUAGGUGGGAGGCGUUGAUAUUAAGUUUUCGGACUUAAUGGAGCCAUUAGUGAGAGACCACUCUAAAAGAGCUAGAAUUCUAAUAGGAAUCCUUGAAUCAGGAUCCUUGACAGUUUCAGAUGGACAGUUUGACUGGGGCGGUGACCUCCCAAAAGGUAACGGAGGUGUGCAAAGGUUCCCUCAAGCUGGACGGAAAUCAGCUGUAGAGUGCAAAGGUAUAAGGGAGCUUGACUGCAAGACCAACAAGUCGAGCAGAGGCGAAAGCCGGCCUUAGUGAUCCGACGGUUCCGAGUGGAAGGGCCGUCGCUCAACGGAUAAAAGUUACUCUAGGGAUAACAGGCUGAUCUCCCCCAAGAGUUCACAUCGACGGGGAGGUUUGGCACCUCGAUGUCGUUUCAUCGCAACCUGGGGCUGGAGUAGGUCCCAAGGGUUGGGCUGUUCGCCCAUAAAAGCGGUACGUGAGAUGGGUUCAGAACGUCGCGAGACAGUUCGGUCCAUAUCCGGUAUAAGCGUAAGAGCAUUGAGAGGAUCUCAACAUUGUACGAGAGGACCCGAAGGGACGUACCGAUGGUGUACCAGUUCUUAUGCCAAUAGGAAACGCUGGGUAGCUAUGUACGGAGUGGAUAAUCGCUGAAAGCAUUUAAGUGAGAAGCCCACCUCAAGAUGAAUGCUCUCUAUUAGAUCGCGGCAAGACAAGCCGAUAGAUUGGCAUCAAGUGUAAGAUUAGUAAUAAUUUCAGCUGAGAUGUACAAAGGAUCGAUCGAUUUUGAC